CAUAUCUUCAUCUUCACCAUCAUCAUUCUACAUAUAUUCAUCAUAAAAAAAAUCCAGAAUUAAAAAAAAAUUGAAAAAGGAAGAGGCAUGUGAUGAUGAUGAGUUCCAAAAAAACCCAGGAAAUCAUCUCCAACAUAAUAACACAGAUAAACAUAAAUCCCAAACAAAAUUCAUAACAAUAAAUCUUAAACAUAACAAUAAAUCACCGAAACAACAACUCAGAUUUGUGGUUCCACACAAGCUUCAUUCAUCCAACUGUGCGGAAUAUGUUUAGAAAUCAUAUCCGUGUUUUGGUUGCAGCUGUUCGGAAUUGGUGUGGUGUACAAACAGCCCAACUGUGCGGCAGUUUUUAGCUUUCAGUUGAUUGGGUUUGUUUACUGGUUUUCUGCGGCUUUUAGUCAGUUAUGCUGCUGUAGUUUUUUGUUGGUGUUUUUCCUGCUACCUUGCGCAGGAUUAGGGAGUUUUUAUUCUUUUUGUUGAUGCUCCCUGUAAUGCUUCUUCGCUGGGAAAAGAAGAGGAAUGAGGAGAUUGAUGAAUUUUUCUUUUUUUGAAAGAAUCAAAUUUUUGUUCUUGAAGAAAUAUCACGUGACAUUCCAUUCCCAUUUUUUUUUUAAUUCAGUAGUUAAUACACAUGGCUUUUCAGUUUCUGUUUUUUGUUUUUUUUUUUUUGUGAAAAUGUAUGAAGAAUGAUGAUGAUGAUGAAGAUAUGAAGAAGAGGAUGAGUGUUUAUAAAAAAUUU
rnacentral:lncRNA from 1 species